UAGCAAUAUUCUUUAGUUGGAGUGGCGAAAGGGUGCGUAACGCGUGGGUAAUUUUGCCGUGAAGUUGGGGAUAACUCCGAGAAAUCGAAGCUAAUACCGAAUGUGACUGUUGGGGGGCAUCCCUUGACAUUCAAAGCUGGGGACCGCAAGGCCUGGCGCUUCACGAUAAGCCCGCGGCCUAUCAGCUAGUUGGUGAGGUAACGGCUCACCAAGGCUAAGACGGGUAGCUGGUCUGAGAGGACGACCAGCCACACUGGAACUGAGACACGGUCCAGACACC
rnacentral:rRNA from 2 species